CUGAUUUUCUGAGAAACCUCUUAUGCUUAAUUACUGAGGAUUUAGGAACAAUAUAUCGCUUGUUUUCAUUCUAGAGAUAGGUUUUACUUGAUAUAUCAAUGGACAAUUUAGGAAAUGAUGGACAGAUUUCCUGAAUUUUAUAAUACUCCUUAUAAUACUUCAUUUGGAGAUAGUAAGUGGUAGUUUGAUUGGAACUAGAAGUGAAAAAGGUUUUGGGGUCUAGCCAUCUUGGUUGAUUGACAAAAGCAACUUCUAGGGUCAGAUUUUUCCCUGCAUAUGUACAUCGUGUUUCAGUUUUAUUUUUUAACAUUUUACUCCGAUAAAUUACACUAUGGGUAUCCCUGUGUUUAUGGUGCUCUUACAGUACGGGUAUGAGCACCAUGAAACAGAGAGUAUUUUGGUCAUAGAGUGUGCACUCUAGAGAUCUUUCUAACAUAGAGGGUGCCCAUAGCUUAUUAUUUGUUUGUAGGAGGUAGCAAUUCUUGAUACUCAGAGGAAAUGUGGUGCUGAAAUGAAAAACAGAUCACCUACUGUCAAGGCAACAUUAUGUAUAGUGAGUUAAAUGCUAAAGCAGCGGAGAAUAUUGUACUUCUUAUUAUGCCUUUUGAUCAAUGUUUACUGGAGUUACUAUUGUUUAAUAUAUAAGAUUGAUUGGUAUAUCUGGUAAAUGGUUUGAUUUCUGAGUUUUCAUUAAAUUGAUUAUUAUUCAUAUAUAAGGUUUUUCUUUGGUUUGGAUGAAUUUAUGAGUUAUUGGCAUAUGUCUAAUUGUUAAUCCAUCUGAUAGCAUCGACAAUGGCGAUGAUAUGUCUAAUACGUGAGAGGGACUUGAUGAAACUGUAUAUACAAUCUAGCAGAAAGCCUGAGGUUCACAACUGAUGUAUUGGACUUGGGAGCUCAUGGACCAUGGACAGGGGUGCAAGUCAACGUACCAGUUAAGUUCAUAUUAGGGGAGCUGGACAUAACCAAUAGUUUUCCGUACAUGAAGGAUUACUUACACAAGGGUGGGUUCAAGAGAGAUGUACCACUUUUGGCUGAGUUGUAAUGGAAGGUGCUGCUCACUUCAUCAAUCAAGAAAUCCGGAAGAAAUAAGCAACCAUAUUUUGAAUAAAAAAUCAGAGAAUCAAUGGCAGCGGAGGAUGUACAACUGAUGUUAAUACUUAGUGUCUUGGUUAGCAAGCUGUUAUCAUGAAGCAAUCUAAAACUUUUAGCAAAGUGUGUGCUUUGAUGUUUCUUUUUUCUUUGAUUGUCAUUGGCAGUUGGCCAGCAUAGUCGGAAUUAUUUUUGGAAAGAGAACACACAAAUGUUGAGAUGUUUGAGUUGUGUUCAGGUGAAGGAACUUUUGAAGGAUUGUUUAAAUGGAAAAGUAGGAGGAUCAAGUGAGAAGGAGCCUGAGUCCAGUGCAUCAGCUGAACUGAACUCACGUAACUUUGAUGUAUUAGUGCUGAAAAGCAAAGAUCUUUGGGUUAUAGAGUUCGUUGCACCUUAGUAUGUUUUUGUAGGGCUUUUUUGUUUGAAUUGUUAGUUUGUAUUCUGAUCCUCAAGAUUUUAAUACUAUAAUGCAUCAAUUGUCAUUGGGGUAAAAUCAUCAUAGUGAACUGCUUCAUAUCUAUUAUAUUAUCUUGUCUUAAUAAAUACAACUUUAGUGUUGACAUGUUCUCCCUUUUAUAUUGGUAGCAGUGGCGGACCUGGCCUUGUGCCUGGCAGGGCCCAAAAAAAAAAUCUAAGAUUUAAAAAAAAAAAAAAAUGGUUUCUGGGAAAUGGGGUUUCAUGGAGUA